rnacentral:rRNA from 1 species
GAUGAACGCUGGCGGCGUGCCUAAUACAUGCAAGUCGAGCGAACGGACGAGAAGCUUGCUCCUCUGAUGUUAGCGGCGGACGGGUGAGUAACACGUGGAUAACCUACCUAUAAGACUGGGAUAACUUCGGGAAACCGUAGCUAAUACCGGAUAACAUUUUGAACCGCAUGGUUCAAAAGUGAAAGACGGUCUUGCUGUCACUUAUAGAUGGAUCCGCGCUGCAUUAGCUAGUUGGUAAGGUAACGGCUUACCAAGGCAACGAUGCAUAGCCGACCUGAGAGGGUGAUCGGCCACACUGGAACUGAGACACGGUCCAGACUCCUACGGGAGGCAGCAGUAGGGAAUCUUCCGCAAUGGGCGAAAGCCUGACGGAGCAACGCCGCGUGAGUGAUGAAGGUCUUCGGAUCGUAAAACUCUGUUAUUAGGGAAGAACAUAUGUGUAAGUAACUGUGCACAUCUUGACGGUUCCUAAUCAGAAAGCCACGGCUAACUACGUG